AUUUGGGUAUAUGAUGUAGCCAUAUCUUCUAUUGUGCAUGACAGUGCAAGAGGGUUAGUUCACAUGAAUUUAAAUGAUUUUACAAUCAACUAAUGAUUUACUUGAUUGUUAAAGGUUUAUUGCCAUGUAUUUAUAUUGAGUUCAUGGUUUAAAAAAUUAUUUGCUAUAGUUACAUGGAAAAUACCUUGCUCAUAAUUCAUGAUUAAUGGUUAAAAGAGUGAUAGAAUAUUUGAUAAAAUGAAACUGUACAGUUGAACAUUUAUAAAGUGUACUGUUUGCUUUAUUAGUAACACUUUUACACUUUUGAGGUUACAAUGAUGCCUUAAAGAAAAAACUAAGAUUGAGAAAAGUAUUCAGUUGUUAUAAUAGCCUGUUGUCAUACAGGCUGGGUUUUUUGGAUACCUGAGAAGAAACCUGUGAACCUAGGAUUCUCUCCCUGGCGAGCCGACCAGCUUGAUCAACUUGAUUCAUCCUCAUCCAUUGAGAAUGUCUGAUAUAAGUGAGAGCAUCAAGGACGCAGUCAUUUCUGUCUUGCCAAGUGUGCCAGAAGAAACGAUCUUACACCAGGGAGUGGAAAGCAAAGAUGACUUGCAGUACAUAAGAGAACAGGAAAUUGCAGAGGUUAAUCGACCAAUCCAGUGCAGAAAACAUUUAAAUGCAUGGAAAUGAGCAGAUGCUAUAAGUUGUGCUACCCCCCUACUCCAGUCCCCAGAAGGCAGUAAAUCCGCUACUUUGAUUUAAAUGGUAUAGUCUAACCUGAUGGACAUGUGUACCGAGGUACAUUGUGUGCCAUAGCUGGAGAUAAUAUGGGAUCACAGAGUGGCUUUAGUGAAAACUUCAGUAAAAGCACCCAUUUCUGCAGAUUAUGUACUAGAGCCUGACCGAUAUAUCUAUAAUAUAUUAAUAUAUAUUAUAUAAUAAACAAAAAAAAAACGAUGAUUAUUUAUCUGUACUUGUCUGCAUGAACAUUGUAAUUGCUAUUUACUACAAUUAUCCAGUAGAGGGAGCUCUAAUACAAGUGUGAACUGCAGCAGCUGACGCGCUGCUUCUCUAAUAAGACGUUUGUUACUCGUGCCUCAUCCAAUAUUCUCCACUGCAAGACUUGUCUGCACAGAUUCGGUUGCGGCAAUAAAGGUAUGUAGAUUUAGUGAAAGUUUUUAAUUAAAUGCGUUUAUACGACCACUAUGUUUAUCAAUCCUCAUUAUCAAACGAGCGAGCUAGCUAACAUAUUUGGUUCACUUUAGCAAGCUAGCAAGCCUUUAUGAACUGGAAGUGAGCACAUAAGCAGCGUAGGAUCUACAUUUCUAGAGGACAUCGCUGUAUUCUCAAAUAAAUAACCAGCCAAAAUAAAAUGGUGGUUGAAUGUGUCACACAUUUGUUUGUUUUUUUUGUUUUUUUUUUAUCUGAGAUAAUGAUAUUAGCUACUAUAUGAUGUUUUGUAAAUAGCCAAGGCGUGAUUGCAAGCGAGUGUCAUCUUGUCACGCGUCCUCGUAGCAAGCUAACCAGACAGUAAAAAAGCAGAUAAAACACUUCGAACAUGAAUCAUUUUAAGCCAUGUUAUCUAGCUUUGUCGUGAUAACAUGAGAGAAGGAUUGCUGUUGGAGAACUGAAUCAACCAAUAGUUAGCGCGGGUAACCUGCACGAA